rnacentral:rRNA from 1 species
CCCAGAAUAGUGCAAAGGAUAAUAACGCAUAAAAAGAAUAAAAAAAAAAUCCAUUAUAUAUAUAAUACCUACCUGCAACACUCAUGCUAUUUAUAUCUGUAAAACUUAGCUUUUUCUCAUCGUUUAUACCAUUAGGUGUUUACUAUUUUGCACUUGUAUCGUCUGUUAGAGUUAGGUAUCAAGUGUUGUUUGUUUAAACUAUAGCAAAUUUAAACUUAGAGGCCGUUACUUUAAGUAAAUUCCAUAAGCUUUAGGCGAGGGUAUAAACCCUUUAUCGUUACUCAUGUCAGCAUUAUCACUUGGGUAAUCUAAUCUUAAGUCUUAAAAAGAAAAAAUCUGAGAUAUGCCCAAUGUUCCGCUACCCCAUAUAUAUUCUAUGUAACUUGUACAUAUAAAUAUUUAUGGACAAGGUCUCGGUAUAUUAUUUAGAUCCGCUAAAUCUUAGGUGCAUCUAACAAUACAUACAAAAUUGUAUAAAACCAGUGCUCUGUUACGAGGUCUUUAAAAAAUGGCCGCUCCUAAGCCCUUUUCCUGGUUGGCUUGGAUAAACACUACCUUUUUUCACUUAACAAUAAUUUGGACCUUUUCC